rnacentral:rRNA from 1 species
GACGAACGCUGGCGGCGUGCUUAACACAUGCAAGUCGAACGGAAAGGCCCUGCUUUUGUGGGGCGCUCGAGUGGCGAACGGGUGAGUAACACGUGAGUAACCUGCCCUUGACUUUGGGAUAACUUCAGGAAACUGGGGCUAAUACCGGAUAGGAGCUCCUGCUGCAUGGUGGGGGUUGGAAAGUUUCGGCGGUUGGGGAUGGACUCGCGGCUUAUCAGCUUGUUGGUGGGGUAGUGGCUUACCAAGGCUUAGACGGGUAGCCGGCCUGAGAGGGUGACCGGCCACAUUGGGACUGAGAUACGGCCCAGACUCCUACGGGAGGCAGCAGUGGGGAAUAUUGCACAAUGGGCGGAAGCCUGAUGCAGCAACGCCGCGUGCGGGAUGACGGCCUUCGGGUUGUAAACCGCUUUCGCCUGUGACGAAGCGUGAGUGACGGUAAUGGGUAAAGAAGCACCGGCUAACUACGUG